rnacentral:tRNA from 1 species
CGCGGGGUGGAGCAAUUGGUAGCUCGUCGGGCUCAUAACCCGAAGGUUACAGGUUCAAGUCCUGUCCCCGCUACUA